rnacentral:rRNA from 1 species
CCUACGGGAGGCUGCAGUAGGGAAUAUUGCUCAAUGGGGGAAACCCGGAAGCAGCAACGCCGCGUGGAGGAUGAAGGUUUUCGGAUUGUAAACUCCUUUUGUUAGAGAAGAUAAUGACGGUAUCUAACGAAUAAGCACCGGCUAACUCCGUGCCAGCAGCCGCGGUAAUACGGAGGGUGCAAGCGUUACUCGGAAUCACUGGGCGUAAAGAGCGCGUAGGCGGGAUAGCAAGUCAGAUGUGAAAUCCUAUGGCUUAACCAUAGAACUGCAUUUGAAACUGUUAUUCUAGAGUAUGGGAUAGGUAGGUGGUAUUCUUGGUGUAGGGGUAAACUCCUGAGAGAUCAAGAGGAAUCCUCAUUGCGAAGGCGACCUGCUAGAACAUAACUGACGCUGAUGCGCGAAAGCGUGGGGAGCAAACAGGAUUAGAUACCCGAGUAGUC